UACGAAGGGGGCUAGCGUUGCUCGGAAUUACUGGGGCGUAAAAGGGCGCGUAGGCGGACAGUUUAGUCAGAGGUGAAAGCCCAGGCUCAACCUUGGAAUUGCCUUUGAUACUGGCUGUCUUGAGUUCGGGAGAGGUGAGUGGAAUGCCGAGUGUAGAGGUGAGAUUCGUAGAUAUUCGGCGGAACACCAGUGGCGAAGGCGACUCACUGGCCCGAUACUGACGCUGAGGCGCGAAAGCGUGGGGAGCAAACAGGG
rnacentral:rRNA from 1 species